CCUACGGGGGGCAGCAGUGGGGAAUAUUGCGCAAUGGGCGAAAGCCUGACGCAGCGACGCCGCGUGAGGGAUGAAGGUCUUCGGAUCGUAAACCUCUGUCAGCAGGGAAGAAAGGUCACUGUGCUAAUCAGCAGUGAAUUGACGGUACCUGAAAAGGAAGCACCGGCUAACUCCGUGCCAGCAGCCGCGGUAAUACGGAGGGUGCGAGCGUUGAUCGGAAUUACUGGGCGUACAGCGCUCGUAGGCGGGAUGUCAAGUCAAGGGGGAAAUCCCCGCGCUCAACGUGGGAACUGCCUUUGAAACUGGCAAACUGGAGUGUGUGAGAGGAUAGUGGAAUUCCAGGUGUAGGAGUGAAAUCCGUAGAUAUCUGGAGGAACAUCAGUGGCGAAGGCGACUAUCUGGCACAUAACUGACGCUGAGGAGCGAAAGCGUGGGUAGCAAACAGGAUUAGAUACCCGUGUAGUC
rnacentral:rRNA from 1 species